CGAGCGGACGUUUUGUUGGUGCUUGCACCGACUUAACGUUAGCGGCGGACGGGUGAGUAACACGUGGGCAACCUGCCCUGUAGUCUGGGAUAACUCCGGGAAACCGGGGCUAAUACCGGAUGAUACUUUUUAAUUCAUGUUAGAAAGUUGAAAGAUGGUUUACGCUAUCCCUACAGGAGGGGCCCGCGGCGCAUUACCUAGUUGGGGAGGUAACGGCUCACCAAGGCAACAAUGCGUAGCCAACCUGAAAGGGGGAUCGGCCACCCUGGGACGGAAACACGGCCCAAACUCCUACGGAAGGCAGCAGUAGGGAAUCUUCCACAAGGGACAAAAGUCUGAUGGAGCACCGCCCCGGGAGUGAAAAAGGAUUUCGGUUCGAAAAACUCUGUUGUAAGGAAAAAACAAGUACAGAAGUAACUGGCUGUACCUUGACGGAACCUUAUUAGAAAGCCACGGCUAACUACUUGCCACCACCCGCGGAAAUACGUAGGGGGCAAGCGUUGUCCGGAAUUAUGGGGCGUAAAGCGCGCGCAGGCGGCCCUUUAAGUCUGAUGUGAAAGCCCACGGCUCACCCGGGGAGGGUCAUUGGAAACUGGGGGACUUGAUUGCAAAAAAGGAAAGUGGAAUUCCAAGUGUAGCGGUGAAAUGCGU
rnacentral:rRNA from 1 species